UACGGGGGGUGCGAGCGUUGUCCGGAAUCACUGGGCGUAAAGGGCGCGUAGGUGGUUUGAUAAGGGUGUGGUGAAAGUCCGGGGCUCAACCUCGGAUCGGCCGUGGCGACUCGUGGGCUGGAGCACUGUAGAGGCGGGUGGAAUUCCGGGUGUAGCGGUGGAAUGCGUAGAGAUCAGGAAGAACACCAGUGGCGAAGGCGGCCCGCUGGGCAGUGGCUGACGCUGAGGCGCGACAGCGUGGGGAGCAAACAGG
rnacentral:rRNA from 1 species